AUGGGGCAGAUCUAUGCGGUACCUAUGGGAAAGUUAUAGGGCAAAUCUAUGGGAUACCUAUGGGGCAGCACUAUGGGGCAGACCUAUGGGGCAGCACUAUGGGGCAGACCUCUGGGGCAGCAGGGGUAAUCUAUGGGGCAGACCUUCUGCUUGGCGGCGUGCUCGGCCACCAUGUCGCUGAAGUCCUCCUUCUCCACCUGCGCCUGCUGCUCCCUCACGCGCUCCUCGUACUUCUGCGUCAUGGCGCUGGGGUCCAGCUCCAGCUCCUCCGGCGCCAGCGCCACCUCCACGCCCUGCGCCUCCGCCGCGCCGCCGCCCUUCCGCCCCAUCACCUGCAGGGGGCGCUGCUGCCAUGGCGCUGCAUCCCAUAAUCACCCCAGAACGACCCCAUAACGACCCCAUAAGGACCCCAUAACCUCCACGCCUUGCGCCUCCGCUGCACUUCCGCCCCAUCACCUGCAGGGGGCGCUGCUGCUAUGGCUGUGCAUCCAUAACGACCCCAUGCAUCGCCCCAGAAUGACCCCAUAACGACCCCAUACAUCGCCCCAGAACUGUCCCAUAACGACCCCAUCAUGACCCCAUGUAUCACCCCAGAACUGCCCCAUAACGACCCCAUACGACCCCAUAACGACCCCAUAACCUCCGCGCCCUGCGCCUCCGCUGCCCUUCCGCCCCAUCA
rnacentral:lncRNA from 1 species